UCCUUCUUAGCUCAGUUGGUAGAGCGCGUCACUAGUAUGGAAAUAAUUCAUGACGAGGUCAGUCGUUCAAGUCGGCUAGAAGGAA
rnacentral:tRNA from 1 species